rnacentral:lncRNA from 1 species
CAACAGUGAGGCAGGAACAGGUGGCAGGGAGUAACCAGGACCGACCCAAAGUGUGCAGGCGCCAGCAGUCAGAAGAGCGCCCCAGCUGGAUGGGAGGCCGGCUGCUCUGUGUACCAGGCGUCCCACUGUUGAGUCAUCAGUGACUCGGUCCAGAGGAGCCUCACGCGGGUGUGGGAUGCAGCCAGCCAGAAGAGCGAGCAUCCUGGGGCCUGGAGCAGCAGCCACGUGAGGACACAGGAGGAGGAGGGAACGCAUGCACUCGGUGGUAGCAGGCUUGCUAUUGCCUGACCAUGGAGCAGCCCGCCAGCCAGGAUGGGACCACAAGGGCUUCGGGACUUGGAACUGGCAGUGGGGUCCAGGGACACUGCUCACUGGAGGCAACGACACAGACACAGGAACCUGACCUUGAGGAGGGUUCCAGCUCUGGAAAGCUUCGGCUCAUUCUAAGGUUCCUGACAGUGGCCUCUGUGCCGACGUGGCCUGGCCCUGCAGCCCCAGGCAGCCGCCUCGCAUGGCCGAGCGAUGCAUCCAGUCAGCCCCGUGAUGCUCCAGGGGCCUUUUGGCUCUCGUCACCCUUACCAACCACGAUCUCUCUCACAGUCUCCUACAGCUGAGGAAAGCCUCCUUAGAAAAACCUGAGUAUCACUUAUGGGCCUGUGUAUUCCUAUGUAUCCUUUAUCCUCCUCCAAUUCCCCUGAUGUUUUAAACCC